rnacentral:rRNA from 1 species
AGGUGGUGCAUGGUUGUCGUCAGCUCGUGUCGUGAGAUGUUGGGUUAAGUCCCGCAACGAGCGCAACCCUCGACCUUAGUUGCCAGCAUUCAGUUGGGCACUCUAAGGUGACUGCCGGCUAAAAGUCGGAGGAAGGUGGGGAUGACGUCAAAUCAUCAUGCCCCUUAUGACCUGGGCUACACACGUGCUACAAUGGGCGGUACAAAGGGUCGCGAACCCGCGAGGGGGAGCCAAUCCCAAAAAGCCGCUCUCAGUUCGGAUUGCAGGCUGCAACCCGCCUGCAUGAAGCCGGAAUCGCUAGUAAUCGCGGAUCAGCAUGCCGCGGUGAAUACGUUCCCGGGCCUU